AUUGAACGCUGGCGGCAGGCCUAACACAUGCAAGUCGAGCGGAUGAAGGGAGCUUGCUCCUGGAUUCAGCGGCGGACGGGUGAGUAAUGCCUAGGAAUCUGCCUGGUAGUGGGGGAUAACGUCCGGAAACGGGCGCUAAUACCGCAUACGUCCUGAGGGAGAAAGUGGGGGAUCUUCGGACCUCACGCUAUCAGAUGAGCCUAGGUCGGAUUAGCUAGUUGGUGGGGUAAAGGCCUACCAAGGCGACGAUCCGUAACUGGUCUGAGAGGAUGAUCAGUCACACUGGAACUGAGACACGGUCCAGACCCCUACGGGAGGCAGCAGCGGGGAAUAUUGGACAAUGGGCGAAAGCCUGAUCCAGCCAUGCCGCGUGUGUGAAGAAGGUCUUCGGAUUGUAAAGCACUUUAAGUUGGGAGGAAGGGCAGUAAGUUAAUACCUUGCUGUUUUGACGUUACCAACAGAAUAAGCACCGGCUAACUUCGUG
rnacentral:rRNA from 1 species